rnacentral:rRNA from 1 species
AGAGAGAGACAUGCGCGCAUAUCAAUAAGCGGAGGAAAAGAAACUAACUAAGGAUUCCCUCAGUAACGGCGAGUGAAGCGGGAAGAGCUCAAAUUUGAAAUCUUCAAGGUUUUACCUUGACGAAUUGUAGUUUAAAGAAGUGUUUUCUGCUGAAGUUUUGGUAAAAGUUCUUUGGAAUAGGACAUCAUAGAGGGUGAGAAUCCCGUAUUUGACCAUUAUUUUCAGCUUUGUGAUACACUUUCAAAGAGUCGGAUUGUUUCGGGAAUGCAGGUCCAAAAUGGGUGGUAAAUUUCAUCUAAAGCUAAAUAUUGGCGAGAGACCGAUAGCGAACAAGUACCGUGAGGGAAAGAUGAAAAGAACUUUGAAAAGAGAGUUAAACAGUACGUGAAAUUGUCAAAAGGGAAGCGUUUGACACCAGUGUUGUUUUCUCGAAAAUCAAUUAAAAAUGGCUCGAUUUUGUAUUGCUGAGACCUUAAAAGCUCACUGUACAUUUUUCGUGUCUUUUUUAAUGCACUUUUCGUUUAACAAGUCAACAUCAGUUUCUUUUGUUGUAAAAGGGUCAUUGGAAGGUGGCUUUCUUUUCGGAGAAAGUGUUUAUAGCCUUUGGCCUCUGCAAUCGAAGAGACUGAGGUCUGCAGCGUAGACUCUUCGGGGUUAGAUACAUUUGUGCUAAGUUAUAGCUUUUUAUAGACAACCUUGUUGACUAUAAUUAGUCUUGUAGCUUACUCGCUUAUGCUAUUUUACCUACGCUUAGGAUGUUGAAGUCAUCGUAUCGCGC